ensembl:miRNA Mir98 microRNA 98
CUGCACAUGCUGGGGUGAGGUAGUAAGUUGUAUUGUUGUGGGGUAGGGAUUUUGGGCCCCAAUAAGAAGAUAACUAUACAACUUACUACUUUCCCUGGUGUGUGGCAU